UCUAUAGGUUUCCAGGAGUGGCCAGAACAACUCCGUGUUCACUCUCUAUGAGCUGACCAAUGGGGAAGACACAGAGGAUGAGGAGUUCCAUGGGCUGGAUGAAGCAACCCUACUCCGGGCUCUGCAGGCCCUACAGCAGGAGCACAAGGCUGAGAUCAUCACUGUCAGCGAUGGCCGAGGCGUCAAGUUCUUCUAGCAGAGACCUGUCUCCUUUUACUUCUUACCUCCCACCCUUCCAGGGCUUUCAAAAGGAGACAGACCCAGUGACCCCACAGACUGGAUCUGUGACUCCACCAGACUCAAAAGGGCUCCAGUCCAAGGAUGGGUUUCCCACUUACCCACGUUUCUGUCCCUGGGGAAGGGCGAGGCUGAGGCGCCUGGGAGAAAAGAUGUGCUUCUCCUUGCCCUACCUCCUCUCCCAUCCUAGACUGUCCCUGAGCCAGGGUCUGUAAACCUAUAACUCCACAUGUGUUCACACACGUAAGUACAUACACACGCCUGCACAAGCUUCUGUCUCUUCCCCUACCCACCCCCUUAGCUGCUAUUGCCUCCCCUCUCAGGCUGGUGCUGGAUCCUUCUUAGGGGAUGGGAGAAGCCCUGGCUGCAGGCAGCCUUCCAGGCAACAUGAAGAUAGGAGGCCCAGGAAGGGGCCUGGCAGUGAGAGGCCAGGCCCGACACUGAUUUUAUGAUAUUAAAAAGCUCAUCCCCACU